rnacentral:rRNA from 1 species
GAUGAACGCUGGCGGCGUGCCUAAUACAUGCAAGUCGAGCGAACAGACGAGGAGCUUGCUCCUCUGACGUUAGCGGCGGACGGGUGAGUAACACGUAGAUAACCUACCUAUAAGACUGGGAUAACUUCGGGAAACCGGAGCUAAUACCGGAUAACAUGUUGAACCGCAUGGUUCAACAGUGAAAGACGGUCUUGCUGUCACUUAUAGAUGGAUCCGCGCCGCAUUAGCUAGUUGGUAAGGUAACGGCUUACCAAGGCAACGAUGCGUAGCCGACCUGAGAGGGUGAUCGGCCACACUGGAACUGAGACGCGGUCCAGACUCCUACGGGAGGCAGCAGUAGGGAAUCUUCCGCAAUGGGCGAAAUCCUGACGGAGCAACGCCGCGUGAGUGAAGAAGGUCUUCGGAUCGUAAAACUCUGUUAUUAGGGAAGAACAAAUGUGUAAGUAACUAUGCACGUCUUGACGGUACCUAAUCAGAAAGCCACGGCUAACUACGUG